ACUCGUGCGGGUGGCGGUAUUCUUUGCCUCUCUGGGGUGAUGGGCCGUUCGCCGGCGGGUGCGGUGCAGGUGUCUACUUCUUAGAGGGACAAGCGGCGUGCCAGUCGCACGAAAUUGAGCAAUAACAGGUCUGUGAUGCCCUUAGAUGUCCGGGGCCGCACGUGCGCUACAAUGACGGUUUCAACGAGUUUGGGAUCCUAGCUCGAAAGAGCUGGGUAAACUGAACCAUGACCGUCGUGACUGGGAUCGGGGCUUGCAAUUGUUCCCCGUGAACGAGGAAUUCCUGGUAAGUGCAAGUCAUAAGCUUGCGCUGAUUACGUCCCUGCCCUUUGUACACACCGCCCGUCGCUACUACCGAUU
rnacentral:rRNA from 1 species